UUUCUGGUUCCUCUCCCGGAAACCCUAAUCCCCAAAUCGCAACAUCCCGAGCAACGAUGGACCUUCGCCUCGCCGCCGCCUCCCGCAAAAUUGGCCGCCCCGACUACGUCCUCCUCUGCACAUAUGGGUGCAGCGACGCGGUGGACAUUAACAAGACCACAGCGUGCGUCUCGCUGAGCAAAAUGGGAUGCAUCAAGGUAACCAUCUCAAAACAAGAUCUGCCAUCGAUCUCCUACUUCCAUGUUACCUGUCCCGACCUCACAGAGAACCCCUUCACCAAAAGUCCUGAGAUCCUUUGGUCGUCGGAGAACUUCAUCCUCUUCUGUGUCCAUCUCGUCCUACCCGGCCCACCAGAGUUCUUCCUCUAUACGGUCGAAGGCCCGGAGUUCCCAGACGCCGAUGCUUAGUCUGCUUCCUGGUUUUGGCUCGUAUUGUGAUCGCGAGAUGCUAGAUCCAUACCUUAUAGGCGUCGUUCCGGACGUUGACGGCAAGGGCCACUUCUUGACCGCUUUCAAAAGGAAGGAGUCAGCGGAUUGCGAACACCACAUCUACAGGCUCGAAGGCAGUAUCGGGACCUGGAGCAAAGAGCAUCUUUUCCCAGAUUUUCCCUCCUGGGCACGUUCAGGGGUUUUUCCAGAUAAGGUGGUUGCAUUACAUCAAGAAGUGGGCUAUGUCGAUCUCUUGAAGGGGAUUCUUUUCUGCAAUGUGGUCAAAAAUCCGGUGAAGGCACGUUUCAUUCCAUUGCCGAACCUGCUACCCAACAACCAACACUACUUCUAUGAAGAAUUGCCAGGACAGGCAAUACGCGAUGUCACCUGCACUGAUGGUUAUAAAAUCGUAUGUGUUGAGCUGGAAGAUUUAUUCGGUUUCACAACCAGAAUCCCCGAUCCUGAUGUACUCUAUGAUUUUGAAGUUGAUCCAUCUGAGAAGGUGGUAAAGCGCAUGUGUGUUGGUUGGAGGCUCGUGACAUGGUAUAGGGAGAUCUUUUGGGACCAUUGGCAAAAGGUGUGUAAGAUUCAUGUUGAUGAACUUGGAGAAGUCUCCUUGCCUCCUCAUGGUAGAACAGAACCCUUGCCACCUAAGAACCUGAAACCAUCUUCUAGAGCUAAAAAGUUGCCUCUGAGCGACCUGCAAACAGCUUGUCCGAUCCUCUGUGGCGAUUAUGUUUGCCUCCUCUCCAAGUGGGACUAUCGUGAUGAUGAGGCUUGGAUUGUCACUGUUGACAUGUGGAAGAAAGCAGUGAGAGGACUGGUGCCAGUUAAAGAUGGGAUAUCCAUGCGUCUCAAUCCAGCCUACGUAUCCUGUGUGACGAAGAAUUAUCGCAAGAGUGAAUCAGAUGGACGUAGCUCUCUUGUGAAGGAUACUCCUUUUCACGGCAAACGUUGUCUGUCGCUCCUGGAAAACACUAGUAACAGUUUCCAGCCGAAGAGGACACUGAGGGGUUCGACAAUGGAACGAAGAGAACGAUAUGGUUGAGUCGACCUCCAUAGGAUUGCCACCAAUAAGCUCGUGCAAUCCUUAUCAGGUCAUAGUAACAUUUGUGAAUCUUGUGAUGAUGCAAGCUUUGGACAAGGAUCUUCAUUCAUUUGAAGCACUGAUGAUUUAAGUUAGAUGUGUGUCAGUUAUGCUUUAAAACCAUAUACUGUUAGAUGUGUGUCAGUUCUGCGCUAUAAUGCUGUUUAAUUUAUAUUGAUCCUUCUAGUUGUGUAUCUAUACCAUGUUAGCAUCAGAUAUGUGUCAGUAAUAUGAUUUAAAACCAUCGUACUUAUUCCAAUAUGCAUAUUGAUCCUUCAGUUGUACCCCGUCUGUUCCUAAAUAUAAGUUUGAGAGAUUCCGUAUA